rnacentral:lncRNA from 10 species
GAUUACAAGCGUGAGCCACCGCGCCCGGCCCCGGCCCUAUUAUUUUUAAAGGCUAAUCAAAUAAGCAGUGGGAGUGGAAAAGGAACAAAGAAAUCUGUAACUGAUUGUGAUCAACUAGUUGUGAACACCACUGUAACAAGCCAGCCAGAAGUUUUCUUUUUUGUUUGUUUGAUUGUUUUUUGCUUUUUUUUGAGACAGGGUCUCACUCUGUCGCUCAGGCUGGGGUCCAGUGGCACGAUCUUGGCUCACUGCAACCUCCACCUCCUGGGUUAAAGCGAUUCUCCCACCUCAGCCUCCCAAGUAACUAGGAUUACAGGUACGUGCCACCAUGCCCGGCUAAUAUUUGUAUUUUUUGGUAGAGACGGAGUUUCACCAUGUUGGCCAGGCUGGUCUCGAACUCCUGACCUCUGGUGGUCCACCCACAUUGGCCUCCCAAAUUGCUGGGGUUACAGGUGUGAGCCACCGCACCCAGACUCAGAAGAGUUUUCUAUUAAUGACAUUUAUUGUUGUAGGGCCUUAGUUGGGCCUGAUACCAUAGAGUUGGCCAUAAAAAGGCUCUUCUUCCACUUGGACCUUGGUCCCACGCCCUAACUCUCUCUUUGCUCCCAAGAUUAAUGAGAAGAUUGAAUAGAACUGUGAAGGUGGAAGCCAGGGAUUUUUGAUAUCUUCAGGGAUCCUGAAGCUAAUCUCUCGAAUCUCAUGCAGAUUGGGAUUGGGAUAACUAUAAAUGACAAGCCCAGGAGUUCUGAGACAAGCCUGGAAAACAUAGUUUUGUGUGUCAGUAAUUCAGAAGUAACUUAGCUGGGUGAUUCCGACUUGGUGUUUCUCAUGAAGGUGCAGUCAUCUGAAGACUUGACUGGGGCUGAAGGAUCCAUUUCCAAGAUGGCUCACUUAUGUGCCUGGCAAGUAGGUAUUGGCUGUUGGCAGGAGGCCUCAGUUCCUCCCCAUAUGGGCAUCUCUAUAAGCUGUUUGAGUGUCCUCAUAACAUGGCAGCUGGCUUCCCCUAGAAUGGGCAAUGUAAGAGAGAGCAAGGUGGAAGUCACAAUGCUUUUAACACUCAGUCUCAGAAAGCACACCCCAUCAUUUCUGCAAUAUCCCUUAGUAACACAGGUCUGCCCUAUGCAUUGUAGGAGGAGAUUACACAAAAGCACAAAUAUUGACAGGUAAAGAUCAUUGAGGUCCAUCCUGAAGGCUGGCUAUGCUAGUCUACACUAGUCUACACUCUGGCUCCCAAAGGUUCAUGUCCUUCACAAAUGCAAAUCUGUUCAACCCUCCCAAGGGACUCAAAAGUCUCAUCCCAUUACAAAAUCAGCUUGAAGUCCAGAAUCUUGUCAUCUAAAACAGGCCUCCAGGUGAGGUUCUUCUGGACUAAUUCCUAUGUACAGCUCCUUGAGUAGCUCUUCUUGAUCUGAAGACCUAUGAACUAAAAAGAGAACUCAUAUUCCCUGUCCUACUCCUCCAUCACCAACAUACAAUGAUGAGAUGUGGGAAAAGCAUAGGAUUACCUCUACAAAUAUUUCUAUUCACAAAAAGAGAGAGGUCUGCCGGGCAUGAUGGC